rnacentral:ncRNA from 1 species
GGUCCGUACUUUGAGCGAUUCUACCUGCAUUUACUGCAGUGGAAAAGAAACCAAAAGGGAUUCCGUCUUGGACUUUAUUGUUUGAGAUGGAGAAGCUCCAAUGUUUGAACCGGAGUAGUCUUUUGACUGCUCCGGAUUGUGAACUAGUGAACUGCUUUUCCAGACAUACCAACAAGUCAGUAGCCUUCACUCCCUGGAAAAGGUUACUGGAGGGUGCAAUCCCCUCACCUUGUCUUGAGUUCUUGUCUUUGUGUUAAGUAGCUUCCGAUGAGUCGGGUUGUUUUACAAACUCCCUAAUCCUGGUGAAAAGUUUCAUCGAAGGCUAAAUAUACUUAUAAAAAACCAACUGAACACAAGUACCGUAAGGGAAAGUAGCUCUUAGUGUAGAGCAUACUGGACGUUAAAGACCUUCCUGAGCCACUCAUAUGAAGGCGAAAGCCGGAUGAAAUCCACGUCAGUUUUUUCUGUGUUGUGCGGCACAUAACAUGGAGAAGACUGAGGAACGCAGAGGUAGCUUUAUGCUAUUUUCUUAGGACGUUGGAUAUUGGCUCUCCAGAUUUUGUCCUUUGGGGCAUGUCAAGAUUGUCACAUAAAGGUGCAAGUAUAAGGGUGUAUCACCUGGAUGCGUAGAGUUUUUUAAAUUCGUUGAGCACCUGGACGUGAGGUAAUACAGGUAGAUUCCAGCAGAAUCGACAGAUUACCCAGUACAAUCGCCUGUAUUUUACUGCUUCCUGUUGAAAUGAUCCCUGUGCUUUUCAAGUCCCUCAUUGCUUAGACUUUGAUACUUGUAACCCACGCUCUGGUAAACAGAACUGGACAUGAGGGACGAACCCGAAGCAAAGUUAAGGUGCCUAAGUAAAUGCUAUGCUGUUCACUUGGGUGUCUCAGACACCUGUCCCGAGCAGUUUGGCAUUAAAGCAUUUCACCGAUACUUUGCCGUCAUGGUAAAUUUGAUGCCAUGCCGAGUAGGCAGGAAUGAGGGUUGUUGAGAAGCUUGGGUGUAAACUUGAGUGGAUCGGCCUUCAAGCGCAGGUCUUGACAAAAAAAUCUUUGU